AAGAAAAUUGACACCUAAAGACAUCAUUGUUUUGACGCUUUUGUUAUCGUCUUUACCUGCAAAUCCACCCCCUGAAUAAAGACGAUUUUUAAGACGUUUAGCAUAUCGUCUCACAGUGUAUUCACCGUUCCCAGUUCCUUAAAAAAAACUACUCGUGACCCUACCCAAAAUAUCUCCCGUCUCUGCUUGUUGAAACCUAGCGCCGCCACUAAUCCUCAAGCGGGGCCUCUCCGGCGAACUCUGCGCAUCGACUGGCGCACCUCUUCUCCCCCUCGCUGGUACAAGAUCUCCCCCGGUGGACGUUGUUACACACGCUACUCAGAGAUCCGAUCCACCAUGCUGCUGCGGCGGUGCCCCGUCCCAGGCUGCUGCGGCGGUGCCCUGACCCAGCCGGCGCCUUUCUCGUGCGUCCCACACACCCUCCGCCACCCGCCCAUGGCGACUUGCAGCCAUUCAAUUCCAUGUACUCCUAGUCGUGGAGCCACAGCCGCAGGUAUGGUCUUAUAACUAACUUAAUCUCAGUCUGUAUCUUCAUCAACCGAGCUUGUGGCUGUUUCAUUGAUACGUCGUCUGUAGUCACUCAACUAGCACUUGUAGGGUCCUGGAAAAUGAGCCGUGGAAUUACAGGGAUGCAAUGAAGGGAUCUAUUUUUUAUAGACAGAAGUGAAGCAACGUGUAGAAGUGGAUGUCAGAUCGAUUGCAAGGGAGACUUUAGUCAACGGCCGAGCUACAAUACAAAAAAAAUUGUGCACAUCCAAAUAGCCAACAACUCCAGGCAUACCAGGUCUAUUAUUCACUUUCGAUUAAACCAAAUAUUAGCAUACCCAGCUUACUGUUAAUCCUACAUAUGUCCAGAUUGUUUGCAAAAAUAUUCACAAGUUGCCUGUUUCUAAGUUAGUAGUACAUGUUUUUCAGCGUUAAUGUUUUGGAAGGCGAACAUUGGGAGUAAUUUGUGAGAGUUUGAAGCUAGAACCGAUUUGAAGGUCCAAUUGCUCCACUGGGCCUGUAAACUUAGGUCCAUAAACUAAGAGCAACACUGAAUGUGGGAAUGCAUAUAUGAAGUUUAUGGAGCCUUCCAAGUACAACAUAAGUUGUCUACAUAUAGUCUAUUCAAGGAGCAAUUUCCUCAUGUCUUAUGGAGAUGUAAGUUAGAUCGCUUAAGUAAUUGAGACCAAUGUGCAAGGCUUAUUGAUACAUCGUAUAGCUCAGGUCAUAAGUACCUUUUAUCAUUUUUCCUUAAAAUAUCCCCAACCAACGCAACUAACCUUUGUUUCUUGAUAGGCUUCAACUAAAAUGCAUCAAAGCUUCAAGUUGUACUGCCCAGAAGAGAAUUCAUAAAGUUUUCAUGAUGCAUCGUAAGGAUGUUGCGGCAGCUGUAAUUGUUUAUUAAAGCCAAUAAGUAAUGUGAAUAUGUAGUUUUAAACAUAAAUAAAUUCCAGCAAGCUAACUACCUAUGAUUAUAUUAUAAACUAAUGUUUUUCAUGAUUAUACUUUAUUUCAUUUGGUUUUUAAUCUAACUUGAGCUGGAUUCUUCGCUGCAGAGUGGUGACUAUGCUCCCAAGGAAAUUAUGCUGAUGCUAAGAAAUAAUAUCUUGGCCAAUGUCGAAAAUUAUUGUCCGUAAUGCCAAUUGUUUGGGUACCCAUCUUCAAUUUGUAAGAUUUGCUUAAUGAGUAUCCUUCAUUGAAAAGAUGUCAGUGAUAUUUUGUGUUUGCUGCAGAAUGUUUUAUUGCAGACCUUUAAUGAAUCGCAGUAAAGACCACGAGGAAAAUUGUACGUGAUGUAGUGAAGACCUGUGGAUGUUGAUGCACAUGGAAAGUUUAGAAGAUUCCAGCUAGUUAGAAGUACUCGAGUUCUUAUUUUCUGUUUUCAUGAUACCUUUGCCCCCUUUUUAUCUGGAUGGAAAUUUCAGUUGUAAAGUACAAUUUUCGUUGAUUAAUAUAUCUUUGUUUCUGGAA